rnacentral:rRNA from 1 species
UACAGAGGGUGCGAGCGUUAAUCGGAUUUACUGGGCGUAAAGCGUGUGUAGGUGGUCAAGAAAGUCGGUUGUGAAAUCCCUGGGCUCAACCCGGGAACUGCUUCCGAUACUUCAUGACUCGAAUUCGGUAGAGGGAGGCGGAACUCCAGGUGUAGCGGUGAAAUGCGUAGAUAUCUGGAGGAACACCGGUGGCGAAGGCGGCAUCCUGGACCAAUUCUGACGCUGAGGAGCGAAAGCCAGGGGAGCAAACGGG